GUUCCCUUCAGGACCUGGUCUGGAGAGGGGCCUAAAAAGGAAUCGUUCAUCACUCAACUGCAGUCAACUCCUCUCUACAUCUGAAGUGCGCCAGCGUAUGCUGUGAGCCACCAAAUAAACUGGUAACAGCGAGAAAGCGAUCCAUACGCAGGAGGAGGGAGACAUCCACGGAAGGCAAGUGUGGGAGAAGAUGACGUGAACCAUCCGACUUCGAUUCUAGCCGAUGAACGGCUGGAAAAGUCAGCUUUCCAGUAUUUUAUUGGUUGUGCCCCCGAAAUGGCCCCAUGCUGGUGUGGAGACCUUGGACCCCUGCUGCAAAUCUAAUAUCAGAGGUGUUGCAGUGUGACCCAAGGUGAAGAUGAAGAUGAAGAGCUGACAGUCUGACUGAGCACUGACCUCAAAACAGCUUCCUUUAUUCUGCACUGCUGUCAUGAGAACAGAGACACGUCACAUGCUUUCUUCAUUU
rnacentral:lncRNA from 1 species